rnacentral:rRNA from 1 species
CCUACGGGAGGCAGCAGUGAGGAAUAUUGGUCAAUGGGCGGAAGCCUGAACCAGCAAAGUAGCGUGCAGGAUGACGGCCCUACGGGUGGUAAACUGCUUUUAUACGGGAAUAACGCGCCUUACGUGUAGGGCUUUGCAUGUACCCUAUGAAUAAGGCCCGGCCAAUUCCGUGCCAGCAGCCGCGGUAAUACGGAGGGUCCGUGCGUUAUCCGGAUUUAUUGGGUGUAAAGGGAGCGUAGGCGGCAUGUCAAGCGUGCUGUGAAAUGUCCGGGCUCAACCCUGGGCUUGCAGUGCAAACUGGCGUGCUGGAGUGCGGGAGAGGCAGGCGGAAUUCGGCGUGUAGCGGUGAAAUGCGUAGAUAUGACGAAGAACCCCGGUGGCGAAGGCAGCUUGCUGCAGCGGAACUGACGCUGAUGCUCGAAAGCGUGGGGAUCGAACAGGAUUAGAUACCCUUGUAGUC